AGUGGGUGUAACGUACCUACUAGCCUACGACGGGUACGGGUUGUGAGAGCAAGAGCCCGGAGAUGGAUUCUGAGACACGAAUCCAGGCCCUACGGGGUGCAGCAGGCGCGAAAACUUUACAAUGCGGGAAACCGUGAUAAGGGAAUCUCGAGUGCCAGCAUAUAAUGUUGGCUAUCCAGAUGCCUAAAAAGCAUCUGUUAGCAAGGGCCGGGCAAGACCGGUGCCAGCCGCCGCGGUAACACCGGCGGCCCGAGUGGUAACCGUUAUUAUUGGGUCUAAAGGGUCUGUAGCCGGCCAUGUAAGUCCCUUGGGAAAUCUGGCAGCUCAACUGUCAGGCUGCUAGGGGAUACUGCUUGGCUUGGGACCGGGAGAGGUGAGAGGUACCUUGAGGGUAGGGGUGAAAUCUUGUGAUCCUCGGGGGACCACCAGUGGCGAAGGCGUCUCACCAGAACGGAUCCGACGGUAAGGGACGAAAGCUAGGGGCACGAACCGGAUUAGAU
rnacentral:rRNA from 1 species